rnacentral:lncRNA from 13 species
CGAGUGGCUCAGCGGUUUAAGGCACUGCAUCGCAGUGUUGCAGUAUGACUAGGCCUGGGGCUCAACCUGUCAGUUGAACAGGUUUUCUCCCGACACAUUGCUGCAGCUGACUUCAGGGUUAAGCGAGUUUGGUAGCUGUUUGGUAGGUCACAUUUUGGAUGACGCAUGACUCGACCUUCGCCUCUCCCAAGCCCUUUGGGGAGUUGCAGUGAUGAGACAAGAUCAUAAUCAUGAAAUUGGGGAGAAAAAGGGGUUAAAAAUAACAACAAAAAAUGCCAUGGGGUUUAUAGUGCAAGAAAGAGGUGACUUAUAUAGGCAAAGACCUGCCUCCUCCCAAGCCAGAGGUGAGUCUCAAAGAGGCAAAGCGCAAGUCUCUCUCUUUUCAUUGACUAUGGUGAAGCUCCGGACAUCCUGAGCUUCAUCAGCUUCACCAUCCUGUCAGGUGACUUCAUGUCUCCCUCUGUGGCUCCAGCUGUCCUCUGCCCCAAAUGCUCCUCCCACACAGGUGAACAACACUCUCUACCAUUGGUCACUUACUAAUCAACCCAUCCACUGAUUGGUCUGCUCUGUAUGAAUCUAUGAUCAUCCAAUAUGUGAUUUUAUGGCUAGCUGCUUAAAUCUCUUUGUUUAUUCAUUAUCAGUAGUAUAACAGCUUAAUUAACAUGUACAUGCCUUGUUCUUGUUUUUAAAUUUCUCUCUCUUCUGUCUCCAGGCCUCAGAUGACUUUGCCUUGGAUGCCCUGGCAGGGGACUUUGUAGCCCCAGCUGUUGCUCCUGCAGUCAAAUCUGCUGUUGACCGCCAGGUACUGAGACACACUUCAUGUGAUAUCAUUGUUGUCUUAUGCUUCAUUCACGUCCAAGAUAUCGGGUCAGUCAGAUUCCCAUUGUAACUUGCCAGCAUAUGUGUGUGCGCUAUCUGCUAUUUGAUCUCAGUCUGCUCUCUGCUCAUCCUAGGAGAAAAAGAUUAUGGAAGAGAAGCUUACCAAGGUGGGGGAGAGAGAUGAUAGCCUUCCAGCUGAGUUCCGGCACACAGAGGAAGACCAAAAGGCAAUGGCAGAGGCCAAAGUCCAGGUGUUAGACCCAAGCAGGUGAGGUUUCUGCCCAAUUGUAUCUAUAAUCGCACAGAUCCGUCAUAUUCAAUGUGUUGCAACUCCUAAAGGUCAUGUUUAAGUCAUGUAAACCAGACAGUACAUAAGCGACCAUCUUCUUCUCUCCUUACAGCCGUCGAUGGAUGACAGCGAGGCCCUUGACCUCUUGUCUAGAGACUUGUCUUCAUCCGCUGGUCCAGCUGCAGCCUCAGUAGCCGUGACAACAGAGCAGAGACAGCCCAGACUGGAGGUACUUACCUACUGCAGACUAACAAACUAACAGACCGCUAAAGUGAGUCUCAGAGUAGGAGGGCUGAUUUAGGAUCAGUUUAGCCUUUUAGAUCAUAAUGAAUAAGAUUAUAUAGACAGGGGUGAGACCUAAUCCUAAAUCAGCACUCCUACGCUGAGACACUUUUUGAAUACAGGCCC